UACAUGAGUAGUGAACGUUAAUCGUAGUGGUUGGGUGUAAAACAUGCUUAGACCGGCAUCUUAAACUUUUAAAAACAAAUUGUUUGCGAAGGAGUAGACGCCUGAGAUUACGUAAGUUUAGUUGUGUUUUUGGCACUUAAAGAUAAAAUUUAAUGAGGUGCCGACUAACAACCGCUUGACGAAGGUACGAAAACGACGUAAUCUGACGUUUAGGCAUGAAAGUAUGGUAAUCAAAGAGGAUUAGAGACCCUUGUAGUCCAUACUGUAAAAUAUAAGCGCUAGUGGUCGCAAACCGCUUAACUAACGUGCAAGCGCUUUACCUGGGUAGUAAAACCGCAAGGUUUAAACUUAAAAAAAUUGGCGGGACCUAACUUAACGGUGGAGCAUGUGAUUUAAUGCGGUAAUCCUCGCAAAAUCUUACCAGCAUUCGCGUUCCUAUCACGUUGUUUUUAUAUAGCGGCGCGUAUAGAGCGUUAGGCACUGCAUGGCUGUCGUCAGUUCGAGUUGUAAAAAGUAAAAUUCAGUUUUUAUAUCGAACGCAACCCUCAACGUCGCAGUAAUAAAAAACAGCGGCGCAGUUUUAAAGUUGUUUCGGUUGUUUUGCGACCGCUAAACAUGUUAAAACGCGACGAGGAUGAGGUCAAGUCUUUAUGAUCUACAAAUGCUGGGCUAUCCAUUUGUUACAAUGGGAAAAACAACAAGUCCCUUAUUUUUAACGAAAAGGAAGCUUUAAAAAUUCCCUAAGUCCGAAUUACUCUUUUGAACUUAAGUGUAUGAAGACGGAAUCGUUAGUAAUCGCAAAAUAGUAAGUUGCGGUGAAUAUUAACGUUAUGUUUGCACACACCGCCCAUCACGCUCGGAGAAUUCGCUGCUCGCAAGGCCAGGGCUUUACGAAUUUACUAAUGGGUAGCGUUAAAUGCGCACACCUGCCGUUUAGUCCGAGCACCAAGUGUGGUUGGUAAUUUGAGUGAAG
rnacentral:rRNA from 1 species